UUAAAAUAUUUUUUUUUUUUUUUUUUUUUUUUUUUUUUUUUUUUUUUGUUUUUUUUUUUUUUUUUUUUUUUUUUUGUUUUUUUUUUUUUUUUUUUUUUUUUUUUUUUUUUUUUUUUUAAAAACAACAAA